GAUGAACGCUGGCGGCGUGCCUAAUACAUGCAAGUCGAGCGAACAGACGAGGAGCUUGCUCCUCUGACGUUAGCGGCGGACGGGUGAGUAACACGUGGAUAACCUACCUAUAAGACUGGGAUAACUUCGGGAAACCGGAGCUAAUACCGGAUAAUAUAUUGAACCGCAUGGUUCAAUAGUGAAAGACGGUUUUGCUGUCCCUUAUAGAUGGAUCCGCGCCGGAUUAGCUAGUUGGUAAGGUAACGGCUUACCAAGGCAACGAUGCGUAGCCGACCUGAGAGGGUGAUCGGCCACACUGGAACUGAGACACGGUCCAGACUCCUACGGGAGGCAGCAGUAGGGAAUCUUCCGCAAUGGGCGAAAGCCUGACGGAGCAACGCCGCGUGAGUGAUGAAGGUCUUCGGAUCGUAAAACUCUGUUAUUAGGGAAGAACAAAUGUGUAAGUAACUAUGCACGUCUUGACGGUACCUAAUCAGAAAGCCACGGCUAACUACGUG
rnacentral:rRNA from 1 species